rnacentral:rRNA from 1 species
UACGGGGGGAGCAAGCGUUGUUCGGAUUUACUGGGCGUAAAGGGCGCGUAGGCGGCCAGCACAAGUCGGUUGUGAAAUCCCCGGGCUCAACCCGGGAACUGCGUCCGAUACUGGAAGGCUUGAAUCCGGGAGAGGGAUGCGGAAUUCCAGGUGUAGCGGUGAAAUGCGUAGAUAUCUGGAGGAACACCGGUGGCGAAGGCGGCAUCCUGGACCGGCAUUGACGCUGAGGCGCGAAAGUGUGGGGAGCGAACAGG